GAGCCCAAGAUUGAAAGCUGGCGCCUUCGGCGUCCGCAUUGUAAUCUCAAGAAGUGUUUUCCGCUUCGGACCAUGCCUAAGUCCCCUGGAAAGGGGCAUCAUAGAGGGUGAUAAUCCCGUACAUGGCAUGGAGCGCCCGAAGCUUUGUGAUACGCUUUCUAAGAGUCGAGUUGUUUGGGAAUGCAGCUCAAAAUGGGUGGUAAAUGCCAUCUAAGGCUAAAUAUUGGGGAGAGACCGAUAGCGAACAAGUACAGUGAUGGAAAGAUGAAAAGAACUUUGAAAAGAGAGUUAAACAGUACGUGAAAUUGCCAAAAGGGAAGGGUAGGAGGUCAGAGAUGCGUCGCAGGAUUCAGCCUUGCUUUUGCUUGGUGUUUUUCCUGCGUUGCAGGCCAACGUCGGUUUUGGGCACUGGAGAAGGGUAGGAGGAACGUGGCACCUCUCGGGGUGUGUUAUAGCCUCCUACUGGAUACAGCGACCGAGACCGAGGACAGCAGCGUACUCGCAAGAGCGGGCCUUCGGGCACCUUUACGCUUAGGGCGUUGGCAUAAUGGCCCUCUACCACCCGUCUU
rnacentral:rRNA from 1 species